rnacentral:rRNA from 1 species
AGUAGCGGCGAGCGAAAGCGGAUAAACCCAUAGCACGGUGAACGACCUGGAAAGGUCGGCCAUAGCAGGUGACAGCCCUGUAGCCGCGUAGUGGGGUAGCCCUUGAGUAGCAUCGGGCCCGUGAAACCCGGUGUGAAUAUGGGGGGUCCACCCCCCAAGGCUGAAUACUACUCAACGACCGAUAGUUAACCAGUAGAGUGAUUGAAUGAUGAAAAGUUCCCCGAAAGGGAAGUGAAAAGUACCUGAAACCACACGCUUACAAGCGGUCGGAGCCCUUCGGGGUGACGGCGUGCCUCUUGCAUAAUGAGCCCACGAGUUAGCCUCUAUGGCAAGGUUAAGGUGUACACCACCGUAGCCGAAGCGAAAGCGAGUCUUAACCGGCGUCCAGUCGUAGGGGUUAGACGCGAAACCUUGUGAUCUACCCAUGGCCAGGUUGAAGGGAAGGUAACACUUCCUGGAGGACCGAACCCGUUAACGUUGAAAAGUUAUGGGAUGAGCUGUGGGGAGGAGUCAAAGUCUAAUCAAACUGGGAGAUAUCUCGUUCUCCUCGAAAUAGUUUUUGGGCUAGCCUUGCGUGACAGCGAACGGGGGUAGAGCUACUGAUAGGGGCUGGGGGGCUACCCGCCUACCCACCCCUCCCAAACUCCGAAUACCGUUCGCUCUUGUCGCAGGAGUCAGACUGCGGGUGAUAAUAUCCGUGGUCAAAAGGGAAACAACCCAGACCGCCAGCUAAGGUCCCAAAGUUACAGCUAAGUGGGAAACGAAGUGGGAAGGCACAGACAGCCAGGAGGUUGGCUUAGAAGCAGCCACCCUUUAAAGAAAGCGUAAUAGCUCACUGGUCGAGUCGGCCUGCGCGGAAGAUGUAACGGGGCUCAAACUGUGUACCGAAGCUGCGGAGCGACAUCUCUUCUUGUAAGAAGUGUCGUUGGUAGAGGAGCGUUCUGUAAGCCUGUGAAGGUGUCUCGUGAGGGAUGCUGGAGGUAUCAGAAGUGAGAAUGCUGACAUGAGUAGCG